ACCGGAGUGAGUAAAAAAGAGAAUGGUAGAUCAUUGGGUUUUAGAAACCUAGACUUUUGAGGGUUCGAAUCCCUCUUCCGGUA
rnacentral:tRNA from 2 species